AGCAGCCGCGGUAAUUCCAGCUCCAAUAGCGUAUAUUAAAGUUGUUGCAGUUAAAAAGCUCGUAGUUGAAUUUCGGGAUCAGUAAGCCGGUCGUACCUUCGGUAUGUACUGGUGUCACUGAUUCCUCCCUUCUGAUGAACCGUUAUUCCAUUUAGUUGGUGUGGCGGGGAAUCAGGACUGUUACUUUGAAAAAAUUAGAGUGUUUAAAGCAAGCUCGCGCUUGAAUACAUUAGCAUGGAAUAAUAAAAUAGGACGUUUGAUCUCCUAUUUUGUUGGUUUCUAGGAUCGACGUAAUGAUUAAUAGGGAUAGUUGGGGGCAUUAGUAUUCAAUUUGUCAGAGGUGAAAUUCUUGGAUUUAUUGAAGACUAACUACUGCGAAAGCAUUUGCCAAGGAUGUUUU
rnacentral:rRNA from 1 species